AAGGAUAUGCUCAAAAGUGGGAAGUGCGUUGUACUCAACGCCCCUAUGAGUUCCUCUUUUUCAGUGCUUUCGAAGAGGCAAACUUCAUUUUGCCGAAAAAUCGCGGCUGUAAAACUUGGAUCCAUCCUGGAAAACCCAGUGUUAGGCUUUCCAUGUCCUAUUGUCUAAACUUUGCUGCGAUCUGAUGCUGCACUUCGGACUUAGAUAAUGAGCUUGUUUGAGAGCAUCUCACUUAAACUAGAUUAUGAUCAACACGUUGGGGUUACAAAACAUGAAUUGGGUGGGUUUGCAACCAGGAAAUCGGUGUGGAUCUGGGAAUUGGAGCCUAAGCGACAUGCACAUCGACUGGAUUAUCUCCCCGAAUGCUGGGCCAUGGGCAACAUUUUUCUACUCUUACGCACAAUCGCAGUAUGCCAUGAUUAACACUGACUCUCCACGGUACAAGAAUCCGUCAAGCUGCCGGUCAAUCCCAUGAUUCCACAGGCUGUUCCAGAACCAGGAAAUUGCACCAAACAACGCUAGGAACGGGAAAGAAAUCUAGGCCUUACCAACCAAAAUCCUGCUUGAAUUCAAUAUACAAGACAUUUGGGCCCAUAACACAUCAAAACACAGAUUACUCGCCGGGUCUGUUUCAGCGCACAACAACCUCUGCCAGCUACACACAAGAGUUAGCAGUUUCUGCAUGCACCUGGAAUGCGAAAAAACAAAAGUUAUGGAAUACGCCAAAGGAAAGAGUCAAGGCAUCGAUGGAGCAUUCAUUAAUCCCGUUCAACGAAACUUGAUCUGAGGAGGGAUGGUCUUCUUCCCUUCCGUUGCUUUCAAACCGAUCGAAUCGAAACUGCAUGAAAAGCAAAGGAAGACUGUACAAUUUAAGGGUGUUUUGCGGAGAUAGGCGAACUGCUCGUCAUUCCUCAGCAAGCACGUCACCGCUUCAAUCAAUCGGUGCUUUUGGGUGUAGGUUAACUGCACUGGGGAGCCGCCUCUGUGUCAGGAAUCGGGACUCGAGAAUCGAAGCUUCACGCAUUGCCAUGGAGAUCGGUGGAGCCUCUUCGCAGCGAUGCCAUAGCUCAUUCGUCGCCACUGGGACUGCGGGUUCAUGACCGCGGCGAGAUUCGAGCCCACGCCGCUGCUUUGCGAAAAAAUCAAUUCAAUAUUUUCUAGAUCUUAAUGAUACUAUAUGCAAUUACUCAGACUUUU